rnacentral:rRNA from 1 species
UGGGGAAUAUUGGACAAUGGGCGCAAGCCUGAUCCAGCCACGCCGCGUGAGUGAUGAAGGCCUUCGGGUCGUAAAGCUCUGUGGGGAGGGACGAACCGCUGGUUGUGCAUAGCUACCAGCAUGACGGUACCUCCUUAGCAAGCACCGGCUAACUUCGUGCCAGCAGCCGCGGUAAUACGAAGGGUGCAAACGUUGCUCGGAAUUAUUGGGCGUAAAGCGCACGUAGGCGGCAAUUCAAGUCAUCUGUGAAAUCUCCGGGCUUAACUCGGAACGGUCAGAUGAUACUGCUUUGCUAGAGUGCAGAAGGGGCAAUCGGAAUUCUUGGUGUAGCGGUGAAAUGCGUAGAUAUCAAGAGGAACACCUGAGGUGAAGACGGGUUGCUGGGCUGACACUGACGCUGAGGCGCGAAAGCCAGGGGAGCAAACGGGAUUAGAUACCCCCGUAGUCCCUGAGCGGGCUGGCAAGGCGCAU